AGAGAGGUAGAACUCAACUCACAGGCAGGACAGAGAGAGAAAGAGACCCAGUGAAGACCUUUGAAGAUCUCUGAAGAAGUGAAGCUACAACUGAAGACUUCAGAAGGAGACGAUCACCAUGGCGAUAUUGACCAUCAUUCUGCUUGUCAGCACAGCUUUUGCUCUGGGAGAUGCUAUGACACGACCCAAGACCCCAUGUGAGGUUGCUAGACGUGCCGCUUUAAAUGGCUCAGUUGGAGCCUACAUUCCCACAUGUGACGGCAAUGGACAAUACACCCCCAAGCAAUGUUGGGGCUCUACAGGUUACUGUUGGUGUGUGACCAGUACUGGACAGAAGAUCCCGGGUACUGAGACUCCACCAGGCACUGCUAUCAACUGCUAGCAACUGUUCCACCAAGGUGAAAGACGUUGGAAUGAAGACGUUGAAAAGACGAACAGUUGUCUUUACUGUACUACAGGAACUGAUUCGCAUCCCAUAUAAAUACAUGAAGAAAUCCUGAUAAUAAACUUGUUUAACUUA